AACGAACGCUGGCGGCAUGCCUAACACAUGCAAGUCGAACGAGACCUUCGGGUCUAGUGGCGCACGGGUGCGUAACGCGUGGGAACCUGCCCUUAGGUUCGGAAUAACUCCCCGAAAGGGGUGCUAAUACCGGAUAAUGUCUUCGGACCAAAGAUUUUUCGCCUUUGGAUGGGCCCGCGUUGGAUUAGUUAGUUGGUAGGGUAAAAGCAUACCAAGGCGACGAUCCAUAGCUGGUCUGAGAGGAUGAUCAGCCGCACUGGGACUGAGACACGGCCCAGACUCCUACGGGAGGCAGCAGUAGGGAAUAUUGGACAAUGAGCGAAAGCCUAAUCCAGCAAUGCCGCGUGAGUGAUGAAGGCCUUAGGGUUGUAAAGCUCUUUUACCCGAGAUGAUAAUGACAGUACCGGGAGAAUAAGCACCGGCUAACUCCGUG
rnacentral:rRNA from 1 species